UACGGAGGGUGCGAGCGUUGUCCGGAAUCACUGGGCGUAAAGGGCGCGUAGGUGGCGCGGACAGUCGGCGGUGAAAGCUCGGGGCUCAACCCCGAGUCGGCCGUCGAUACUGCCGGGCUCGAGCACUGUAGAGGCAGGUGGAAUUCCGGGUGUAGCGGUGGAAUGCGUAGAGAUCCGGAAGAACACCGGUGGCGAAGGCGGCCUGCUGGGCAGUUGCUGACACUGAGGCGCGACAGCGUGGGGAGCAAACAGG
rnacentral:rRNA from 1 species